AUUGGCUCCAUUACACCUAAUGUCAGCCAAAAACCACACACUGUCCGUUCAGCAUGUUUGCUGUUCUUUAGAACUGAACUCUUGUCUGUUCGCUGAAUAUCUCAGAGUUGUGAUGGAUGGGUCAUCUCUCUUCAGCUCAACACAAGAUUGGUUGCUGGCCCCUUCCUGUGAAAACACCAGUUUCCGUUUGCUUUUCUUCUCAAACUAGUCGGAUAGACUUUGUUAAUCCCUGACCUGAACUUUACUGUGAACAGUUUUGGACUGCUGUCUUGAACUGGAUGCGAGACCCGUGAGCUGAUCCAAAUGCCACUGUGUGACUAUCUUCACAUCUAUAAAUUAAGAAAUAUGAUGAAAAUUUUUUAAAGAAAUUCAAUCAUGGCAGAAGAUCUGUGGAGCGUCACAGACCAUCACCGAGAAUUCAACUAAAAGAAAAAGGAAAAUGCCAAACCAAGAGAGCAAGAGACAAUCUUCAGGACCAGGAGAGAAACAGACGCUGAGACUAACCAGAAGAAACAGCAUUAAUAGCGGAAUACCGAACUUUUGUGAUGAUCCAGACAGUUUUAUUCUGAGUGACUCACAGACGAGGCUUUGUGAGAAAAAUUCACAUGAUCGAGAGGGCACCUCCCUGUCAUGCACGUGCAUUAAUAACUUUCACACAAGCACUUGAAUAUGAAUAAUAAGCCACAUUUUGCAUAUGCAUUACAAAGUAAAUCAUUGUUUACAUGCAGUUGUCCAAAAUAAAACUAAACAAGAUUUGUAAUGAAGAUAAAACAAAUAAGAACAAAUGCUGCGCGUAACACUCAGCAUCACCCACGCCACGCAAAUCAUGCACUCGUAUAUUUUACACACCUGCAUUUACAGUUUUUUCAAUACCUUUAAAAACAUCCCUAAACUCUGAACACAGUUAGCACAACAUCCGUCUCUGUACAAUUAACACAUUUCUUGUUGCUUUGACACAAAAUGCAUCCAGUUAACACACAUUUAAAAUGCUUGAACUUCUUUUACACACAAGCUCAAACAAGACCAAAAUGUAAUUUUACAGUCAAAUUUACCAAUGCUUUCACAUUUACAGAUAACAUCUUUAAGACUAACUUACAACUAACUUACAAACCUAGAAGUUUGGGAGGAUUAGAUCACGUUUAUUUAUUUACUUUUUAUUCUACUGUGGCUUUUUCUGUUCUGUAAAUUCUGUAUAUAAAUUUUAUAAAUAAAUGACAGCUAUAUUGCAUUUUUUUCUUGUAUUUUUGUUUUAUCUUGCAUAUUAGUUUUUUUUUCCAGUUGCAAAUAAAAUCUUUACUGCAGCAAUUCUGUGUCUGU